GACGAACGCUGGCGGCGUGCUUAACACAUGCAAGUCGAGCGGUAAGGCCCUUUCGGGGGUACACGAGCGGCGAACGGGUGAGUAACACGUGGGUGACCUGCCCUCAGCUCUGGGAUAAGCCUGGGAAACCGGGUCUAAUACCGGAUAUGACUCCAUGACGCAUGUUGUGGGGUGGAAAGCCUUGUGCGGCUGAGGAUGGGCCCGCGGCCUAUCAGCUUGUUGGUGGGGUGAUGGCCUACCAAGGCGACGACGGGUAGCCGGCCUGAGAGGGCGACCGGCCACACUGGGGACUGAGACACGGCCCAGACUCCUACGGGAGGCAGCAGUGGGGAAUCUUGCGCAAUGGGCGAAAGCCUGACGCAGCGACGCCGCGUGAGGGAUGACGGCCUGGUU
rnacentral:rRNA from 1 species